ACCACGAAAGUGUUCAGCACUGCAUAUUACUUUUACUAAUGCAUUUAGUGUCACAUUGGACUUAGAGCUUAUAUACUAUCACUACUACAUAGAGUUUAAUGGAGGCGGAAAAACAGAUUAAUAGAGGAGGCCAUUGCAACUACCUCCGUUAAUGCGAGAACAACAGAGACGGUUGCUUUUGUUUGCCUCCGUUAAUCUAUUAAUGAAAGUGGACGUCUUUUAAAUGUCUGCCUCGGUUAAUAAAUUAAAAAAAACAAAAAAGAACACGGACCCUCAAUCCUAGCCCUAAGCUAGAUCCACGCCCAUGUCGUCUGCCUUCCAUGCUUCCGCCACGCGCGCCGCCCAGAUCUAGCCCUACUCCAGAGUCUCACCACUAGAUCUGCCUCUGCUGCACCGGAUCUAAAAAAAGGAGAGAGGGAAGACCG
rnacentral:lncRNA from 1 species